rnacentral:rRNA from 1 species
GAUGAACGCUGGCGGCAUGCCUAACACAUGCAAGUCGAACGAGAUCUUCGGAUCUAGUGGCGCACGGGUGCGUAACGCGUGGGAAUCUGCCCUUGGGUUCGGAAUAACAGUUAGAAAUGACUGCUAAUACCGGAUGAUGUCUUCGGACCAAAGAUUUAUCGCCCAGGGAUGAGCCCGCGUAGGAUUAGGUAGUUGGUGGGGUAAGGGCCUACCAAGCCGACGAUCCUUAGCUGGUCUGAGAGGAUGAUCAGCCACACUGGGACUGAGACACGGCCCAGACUCAUACGGGAAGCAGCAGUGGGGAAUAUUGGACAAUGGGCGAAAGCCUGAUCCAGCAAUGCCGCGUGAGUGAUGAAGGCCUUAGGGUUGUAAAGCUCUUUUACCCGGGAUGAUAAUGACAGUACCGGGAGAAUAAGCUCCGGCUAACUUCGUGCCAGCCGCCGCAGUAAAAC